UGUCUGUAAACUAGAAAAAUGCUUCAUUUUGGCCCCUUAUUCCUACAUAUUCAGGAAAAUUAACCCCAAACUGAAUCCCAGCUUCCCCUGUGUUAUAUGGAAACUUGUGGUACAAUGUCAGAGUGAUCCAUACAGUUACACACAAGUUAUUGUCUUGAAACUAGAAAAAUGCUUGUUUUUGGUCCUUAAUUCCUAGACUGUUUGCCUAAUAACCCCUUAAAAUAAAUCCCAACCUUCUACUUAUGGUAUUAAACAUUGUGGUACAAUUUCAGAACAAUUGAAAUACUAA
rnacentral:lncRNA from 1 species